UUAAACUGAAGAGUUUGAUCAUGGCUCAGAUUGAACGCUGGCGGCAGGCUUAACACAUGCAAGUCGAGCGGGGAAAGGUAGCUUGCUACUGGACCUAGCGGCGGACGGGUGAGUAAUGCUUAGGAAUCUGCCUAUUAGUGG
rnacentral:rRNA from 1 species